GACGAACGCUGGCGGCGUGCUUAACACAUGCAAGUCGAACGGAAAGGCCCUGCUUUUGUGGGGUGCUCGAGUGGCGAACGGGUGAGUAACACGUGAGUAACCUGCCCUUGACUUUGGGAUAACUUCAGGAAACUGGGGCUAAUACCGGAUAGGAGCUCCUGCUGCAUGGUGGGGGUUGGAAAGUUUCGGCGGUUGGGGAUGGACUCGCGGCUUAUCAGCUUGUUGGUGGGGUAGUGGCUUACCAAGGCUUUGGCGGGUAGCCGGCCUGAGAGGGUGACCGGCCACAUUGGGACUGAGAUACGGCCCAGACUCCUACGGGAGGCAGCAGUGGGGAAUAUUGCACAAUGGGCGGAAGCCUGAUGCAGCAACGCCGCGUGCGGGAUGACGGCCUUCGGGUUGUAAACCGCUUACGCCUGUGACGAAGCGUGAGUGACGGUAAUGGGUAAAGAAGCACCGGCUAACUACGUG
rnacentral:rRNA from 1 species